rnacentral:rRNA from 1 species
GGUGAACCUGCGGAAGGAUCAUUACCACACCUC